CAACCGCUGUUUCUCCGUUCUCCAUUCUACUUUUUGUCGGCUUAGUGAAUGUUCACCAUCAGAGUGGAUCAGUCACCACUGAUGGGUGGUUAAAGCUAAUAGCACCAGCUCAAACCGCGGUUUUGUUCAAAGAGCUCCGCUUAACCCUCCAUUCCAUUCUCAAAGAUCUCAUCCGAAAACCUGAGAAAUUAUGUAUUGUCCACAACGAAAUCGUCAAAGCUAUGGUCCAUCUUCUUAUAGAAGAAGGCAAACCGCAACACACAUGAACUAAAUAUUACGCCAGGAAAUGAAGAUCAAACUGUGUAAAUUAGAAAAUAACUCU
rnacentral:misc_RNA from 1 species